AGGGGAAGCCGGUGCGAAUCCGGCGCUGCCCCGCAACGGUGAGCGAGGCGUGCCCGCACGCCC
rnacentral:misc_RNA from 1 species